ensembl:snRNA U6 U6 spliceosomal RNA
GUGCUCGCUUUGGCAGCACAUAUACUAAAAUUGGAAUGAUGCAAAGAAGAUUAGCAUGGCCCCUGCACAAGGAUGACAUGCAAAUUCAUGAAGCGUUCCACAUUUUU